AUCACCUGGGGAUUUUGUUAAAAUGCUGAUUCUGAUUCAGUAGGUGGGACUGAAGAUUCUGCAUUUCUGACAAGCUCCCAGCUGACGCCCA
rnacentral:pre_miRNA from 1 species